rnacentral:rRNA from 1 species
GUUCGUAGUGACUGCGGAGGAUCAUUAAUGAAAAAUAGGUGUAAUCUUUUAACAGAUUCACUGACCCUUCAUUUUUCAAACUCUUGUGCAUUUAUUAAUGGUGAUUAGAAGAAGGAAACUUCUUCUUUUCACGUCUAUCAUUUUAAAAAACUUUAAUAGUCAGAGUAUGUUUUAAAAAUUUUAUAAUCAAAAAAAAACUUUCAACAACGGAUCUCUUGGCUCUCGCAUCGAUGAAGAACGCAGCGAAAUGUGAUAAGUAAUGUGAAUUGCAGAAUUCAGUGAAUCAUCGAAUCUUUGAACGCAUCUUGCGCUCGCUGGUAUUCCGGCGAGCAUGUCUGUUUGAGUGUCGUGAACUCUUCAAAUCCUUAAUUUUUUUUAUGAAUUUUAAGUUUGAUUUGGUUUUUGAAUAUUGUUGGAGAAGUUAAAUUCUCGAAACUUAUUCGUAAUACAUUAGCAUUCCCAUUUCGAGAUCAGAUUGACUCGGCGUAAUAGAUUAUUCGCUGAGGAUUAUAGACUUCUAUAAGCUGAACUUGUAAAUAUUUAGAAAGCUUCUAAUCACAGUAAAUUCUAAGAUUUAGACCUCAGAUCAGGCAGGAUUACCCGCUGAACUUAAGCAUAUCAAUAAGCGGAGGAAAAGAAACUAACAAGGAUUCCCCUAGUAACGGCGAGUGAAGCGGGAAGAGCUCAAAUUUGUAAUCUGUUACUUUCAGUAACCGAGUUGUAAUCUCGAGAAGUAUUUUCCGCGUUGGACCGCACACAAGUCUGUUGGAAUACAGCGUCAUAGUGGUGAGAACCCCGUAUCUGGUGCGGAUGCCCAAUGCUUUGUGAUAUACUUUCGAAGAGUCGAGUUGUUUGGGAAUGCAGCUCAAAUUGGGUGGUAAAUUCCAUCUAAAGCUAAAUAUUGGCGAGAGACCGAUAGCGAACAAGUACCGUGAGGGAAAGAUGAAAAGCACUUUGGAAAGAAGAGUUAACAG